rnacentral:misc_RNA from 1 species
GUAGGUGAACCUGCGGAAGGAUCAUUACUGAAUGUGGAAUAUCUUAUUCUUCAACCCACCCUGAGUAUUUGUACUUGUUGCUUCCGUGGGCAGCGAACUUUGCGUUCGCACCUGCUGAUGAAGUGGACCCACGGGAGGUACCAAUAAACUCUACAUUUAUGUCAUAUAUAGUCUGAUUUUGUUUAUUCAUUAAAUGAUAAAAACUUUCAACAACGGAUCUCUUGGUUCUCGCAUCGAUGAAGAACGCAGC